AGAACUUGGCUGAAUUGUAUUUGUGUUCUAGUAUUUUCUAGAAGGUAGGGCUUGGGUGCAAUGAAAUUGGGGUUAACUGAGGAGAUUUCUUAACAAAGGUGGCGUGGUUCCUCCUGACUGCUUACAGUAAAGUACAAGAAGAGGGAAAUGACUUGAAGAUGGCUCUGGAAUUGUGAAGCAAAAAGGAACCAAAACAAAGAAAGACUUAAAAGAUUCUGUCUGUCUGUGAAAAAAGAGAAUGUGUGUGAAAAAAGAAAAUGCUAAGCCUGUGGCAGACUGACCCCUUGAUAAGGGAGAGUAGUGUGAUGGUGAACCAGGCAUUUAAUUAGCCACCUCCACAGAAACCAGGAAUUGAGAUGAGGUUGUGCCAGCAGAAACAAUUGUCAGCUGGGAGGAAGGAUCCUGAAGGUGAUUUAAGAGUCACUGCCUCACUUUCAACAGGGCAGAAGGCCAUCCAGCAGAGCUCUGGGGUGUGACCCCCAGCUGGCAGAGGGCCUUGGCAUAGGGGGCACCUCACCUCACCAAGCCAUUGGGGAUGAUGCAGUGGGUCUGAAAGGCAGAGCAUUCAGCCAAAGAGGAUUGUUUUCUGGCCUUAAGAUCUCAUGGAGUUUGUCCUGUGGGUUUUGGAUUUGCCGGAGGCCUGCCCCUCCUUCCUUCUUCCCGUUCCUCCCUUUUGGAACCUGGGGGUGGGGUGGGGGUAUCUGUCCUGUGCCUGCCCCACCAUUGUAUUUGGGAAGUACAUCAGAAGCUUGGGUUCAGGGGCUCACCGCUGGAGAGGAGUCUGCCUUGGGAGGGAGCUUACCUCCAGUCUCACCCACAUCUGGCUGAGGGGACACAUGAGACCAUAGGCUACUCCAAAGACUUGAGUGGAGGAGUUUGGGGUUUGCUGGGAUGAAAUGAAUGUGUUUUGUAUGUGAGAAGGGCUUGCAUUUGGAGGGGAGGCCAGAGGUAGAGUGCUAUACUCUGAAUAUUUGUGUCCUCAAUUUUCAUGGUUGAAACUUACUCUCCAGUUGUGAUGGUACUAGGAGGCGGGGCCUUUGGGAGGUGAUUAGGUCAUAAGGGUGGAGCCCUGUCUUUGCAGUGCCCUUCUAUGAAGAGUCAGGAGGGCUUGCUUCCUCUCUGCCCUCUCUGCCAUGGGGACGUACAGUGAGAAGUAGAAACAGCUGAGAUGUGGCCCUGAUUUAAGGGAUGGGGACAGGGAGGCCCAGGUGGUCUAGGUUUGCUUCCUGGCUUGGGAACCAGAGGUGAUGCAGGAAAUCCAGAGGUUUGGUUCCUUCAUGACUUUCUUCUGUUCCUUCCAGCUUCUUCCUUCUAGCUAGGCUGGACCUCUUUUCCCAGCACUUGGCACACCCUUGGGAAGGGGGUCAGGGUGGUGGUGAGGGGGGAGCUUAGGCCCUGCAACCCAGAAGACAUGCUUUCUUUCCUCCAGGGCAGUCUCGUUUCCUCUUUUCUCCUCCAGCAACUCUUGGUCCUGUGUUACCCUGAGCAACAUCUUUCAUCCCUCUGGCCUCAUAGCAUCCUUUGUGAAAUGGGCUACGGUCUGAUCUGCCCCCCUCAGUGAAAGCAUCCACUGGAGCCUGGGUUUAUAUCUGGAGGCUACACUUUAGGGCCUCCCACAUGCUGUGUCCUCUGAGAAUAAGCCACCUGCCUGGGCUAUUUUCAGACACAGCUGCAGUUGAAUAAAUCAUGAUCAGGAAAGGACAGCAGGUGAGCCCGGAGCCAGCUCUCGAGGGUGCUGGGGGUGCGGCCUGGCCCUGGUGCCCUCCCCAGUCCUCCUGCCCACGCUGCUCUGCUCUUGCCGCUCCCAGCCACACUUUCUUCCUUCCCCGGAAGCCAGCCCAGCUUCUCUUCCGCAGGAGGCUUUCCCCAAGUGACUCCACCUGCCUCCACCCUGAGCGACUUGACCCAGUGCCUAUUCCACCCACUUAAAAAAAAAUGCCAGUUGAGAACCUGCCUGGGGUGUGGUGGGAUGCGGGAUGGAGGAUGGGUAAAGAGGUGUGGUUCUUCACCCCCAGCUGGUUAUCCUCUGUGGGGAUUUGAAGGCAAGAGCAGAGCCACACAAAGGAAAGCGGUGUACAUGUGAUAAGAUGAGAGCCAGAUGGAGCACAGAAGAGGGAAGCAGCACAUGGUGUUGGGAAGAUGGAGAAGCUAGCAAUGGGAGGAGGUGCUGGUUUGGGCUAUUCCCUCUGUAUCUUCUUUUCUUCCCUUUUUCCUUUCUUCUUUUGAUCUCUCAAGCAUGCUAUUCUGUAUCAGAUACUCUGCUAGGUGCCAGGGGAUACAGAUGCACUAAUUUUU
rnacentral:lncRNA from 1 species